CAGUAGCCGCGGUAAUACGAAGGGUGCAAGCGUUAAUCGGAAUUACUGGGCGUAAAGCGUGUGUAGGCGGUGAGUUAAGUCUGCUGUGAAAUCCCCGGGCUCAACCUGGGAAUGGCAGUGGAUACUGGCUCGCUAGAGUGUGUCAGAGGGGGGUGGAAUUCCGCGUGUAGCAGUGAAAUGCGUAGAUAUGCGGAGGAACACCGAUGGCGAAGGCAGCCCCCUGGGCCAACACUGACGCUCAUGCACGAAAGCGUGGGGAGCAAACAGGAUUAGAUACCCGUGUAGUCCCUGUCUCUUAUAC
rnacentral:rRNA from 1 species